UCCUGGCACGGAGGUGGCCCUCGCCGACUGUAGCAGAGACCGCGUGCAUGGGCCGUGUGUGUGCAGCUCUGGUGGCCACCCUCCCGUCCCCUGGUUGGCUGGGUCCACUGGCCCCAGGCAGGCGCCAUCUGCGCGGUGUGGCCUGGAACGGGAAGGAACCUGCGAGGUUUGUGCUAAUGGGCCGGAGGUCCACGUUUAGGGCAGCAUCUCAGAAUCCUAGGGCUGGUCCUUCACUGCAGCUAGAACCUCAUCCAGUGUCCUCCUCCAGCUCCAGCGGACCGUCCCUCGGGGGGGGGGUGCAGCCCUUCUCGACCCCGGGGUCCAGACGAGGACCGGGGCAGAGACAUGACGAGUCCAAAGGGUCUCCUUCGCGCGAGACUGAUGUCGGCUGUCUGGACCUCCAAGGACUGGCCUGAGAAGCGUGUGGGAUCCUCUUCCCUGAGGGCGAGAGGACGGGCGCUGUUGGGAUGCAGGGAGAGGCCUCACACGCGUGCACAUACGUGUAUGGGUUUGUGUGCGUGCGUGCACACGAGUAUAUGCAGGUGCCUGUGUGGGCACGUGUGUGCCCAGACGUGUGCUCACAGGUGUCCCGGGGAGAGAGGAGACCGGGCAGGGCUCCACUCCAGCCCCGAAACUUUGCUUCCUUGUAGCACUGCCAGUGAGGGCUUGGCUCUGGCGCUGGGCUCAGCGUGAGACCCUCUGGUCCUUCUCACCCCAUCCUUUCCCGUGGCCAGUGGGACAGACUCCCCGGGGAUGCGUAAUGCACAGGAUGGCUGCACCAAGCUCUUAGCCACCGAGGCUCCCUGCCACCGUCCCUCCCCCAGAGGCCCCCCGGUGAGUCCCUGGCCAGCCAAGAAUCCUGCCAUGACUAUUUAGGCCAAGACCUGUGUUGCCCAAGGUGUGUGCCCUGAAUACUCAUUCCUGGGGGAGACUCCCCAGACACAGCUUUGGGACAGGUGGGACAGGUUAACAUCCCGCCAUCCCCCAGCAGCAUUACUCUCCACUCUGACCCCAGCCGUGAGCGGGCUGGGCUCUAGCAAAGAAGAUGAAUUCCAGACACUGCCGUGCAGCCCGGGAAGAAGGUCUGCUGGGGUCUCUGGGGACAAGUGAGUUCCACUCUGCCCCUCGCUCACCUGGGACUCGCUCCCCUGGCCUCGGCCGGAGCUCCUCGCCGGCCUUGCUCUGGCCUGGCUCUGACUGCCCGAAGCCCAGACGUGAGUUCUCUCCCCUCCUCUGCACUGCACGCCUGCCUCCCGGGGCUCCACACCGGACCCCAGCCACCAGCUGUCCCAUGUCAUCAGCCUGGGCCUCACCUGGGCAGAGUCAUAGACCACUCUCAGUGGCGGUCACCGGCUGGUCCCCCACACACAGUGGUGCUCGGUCCUUCCCGAUUCCUUCAUUUAUUCACAGUUGUGCUCAUCGGACAAGGUAAGAUUGAAGGUGUUCUUGGUGAGAGAGGAAGGGUCCUCACUGGCCCGGAGGCUGGGGCCCGGCUUGGGGCAUGUCAGGCGCUCACUGGCCACGUGACAUGCGACACUUCUAGCCCCCUCUGACCCAAGCGUCCCCUCCCUCAAAUGGGAUAAUUGUAAAAUAUCUGGGGGAAGAAAGAGUCCUCGAGAAUGCGUUGAAGGCCAGAGCAGGCAUGAGGACAGCGAUUAGCAAAACCGAAAAGCAUGCAGCGAGUAGCAGACGCUCUGUGACGCGGCCUCCGCGGACGAGAGCACGCGCCUCCCUCGGUGCAUCAGAACGGAAGCCAUUGCGCGGGCCCGCCAUCCCAUGUCCGUCCCCAAGAGAAUCAUAGCAGCACCUCGCACAGAUCUUGGUGCCCCCGCAUUCACGGCAGUGGAAAGGUGGACACGCCCCGGGGUCCAGGGAUGGGUGAUGGACCGAUGACACAUUCACCUGCCGUGUGUGAAGUUCGUGAGUCCGCCCACGGAAGGACCCGAACCCCCCCGCUCAGGGUCAUUCCUGAAGCGGCUUCACGGAGGCUGCCGGCGAAUCCGGAUGCGCGUGCGGGACGGGGUGGGCGCUGGGGAAGGCACCCGGGAGAAAUCAAGUCCUGUGCAAAGUGAUUCCUCUCACACACUUUGAGCAGGCCCAGGAGACAGGCUGACACGUGAACAGCUCGGUUCCCAGGAGGCCUGUCCUCUUUUACAAGGACCUUUUCCCCCUGAAGCGUGGACGUCACCCCAAAAAGUGAUAUGAGCAGCCAUCAUCUUCCUCGUCCACGGGCUCAGCAAACACUAGGCUGUGUGCUGCCUGACUCUGCACCCAGCACCCACCACGGGCCUCCCUAUCCCGGGUCACAAGGCGCAGAACAGAAGUCAUUGGAGGACAGGAUCCUCUGGGCACCACUGAGCCUGUGCAUGGGGCCGGUCCGCUCAGGGCACCUGGCAUCACCAUCACUCACUCUCGGGGUCCCCUAGUCCCCGGAUGCCUCUUCGUUCUGGUGAGUGGUUUGUUUCGUGGCCGCCGUGGGUCCCUGCCCAGCCUGCUGCGGGAGCGCUUCACGCCCACGAUUCCGGAGUGCUGUGAUGUGCAGGACGGGAGCCCAGCACCCCGAUCUGUAAGAGCCCGUGAGGGGACAGUAUGGGCUCGGCGCAGCAAACUCCUCAGGCUGUCGGGGGCGAGGCAAGGAGACAAAGGGUCUCGCCCACCAGAAGCAGACACCCCCUUGAGCAGCACCAGCACUGGCUGGCUGUCCCUACGAGGGUGGCCAAGAUGCGGGGUGACGUGGGAGCCUGGUCAGGGCGUGACCCCCAUCUGGCAGUGGGGGGGACUGCUCCCACUGUGCCAGGAAGUGUCCCUUUAGCCGGGGGAGGGGGAGAGGGAGAACCUCAAGCAGGGCACAGCCCCCACCCAGGAGAGAUGGCAGAGGUGGGCUGGACCAGGCCUGCACACAGACAGGACAUCCCACGUAUCCUGUGCGCCCCCCACACUUACCACCCGAUGUACCCACUAAUUCCCCAGACAUAGAAUUCGAUUGGUCCCCCACUGACUGAUGAAUCAUCUGCCUCCGAGUGGGUGUCCAUUCCCAGCCCAUUUGGCUUUUGCAGGACAGUGUUGGAGAAGAGAGUCAGGAACCUAGCACUGUGUCUUCUAGAAGCUUCUGGCAGAACAGUGGAAGUUCUUUGAGUUGGGCCGGGCUGUCUGCACCAGGAGAAAGAUUGGCUCCAGUGGCUGGAAUAAGAGUGUGAGGCACAGGUCCUUGGAGCAAAAACUCCCCAAGUCGGGGAGGCACAGGGGGGCAAGGGGCCCAGGGCGCCCCAGAGAGGGUGUGCCUGCAUCCUGGGACUCUGCGCUGUGGGCAGAGGUCAAGGUGCUCACCUAGAGAGGGUUGGACUUGGCAGAGGCAGCAUCCCUGCGUGUGCGAGUCCCCGGUGAGGGCGAGGGCACGAGUUUGCUGGUCUCAGGGCAGAGCGGCAAAGCUGAGCCUGGGGACCCAGCAGCCUCGUGGUUCAGGCCCUGACACCUCCAUGCUUCCCCCCAGGGCCAGGCUGCACAGCGAGAGCUCUGGCUGGGGUGAAGAGCAGGAGAAGGGCUUCCAGGACAUACCCCCCUCGGCCCAGACCCUGACCUGUAGCUCUCUGGAAACUCUGAGGCCCACAGCCCCUUGUCACUGGGGACUUGGGCCGCUUGCACUGCAGGGUGGAUGCUGCCAGCUUCUCGCCUGGACGUGUGAGCAUGUCCACUGGAGUUGCUAAGGCCAGCCUGGGAGCGGGAUUUCUGGACUGCCCCUUGCAGAUCUUUGCUACUACACACAGUCUCCUGCACCUCCUCCCCAGUGUGGGGGAGCCCCGGUUCCAGCCAUGCUCUUCUCUUAACCUUUGUCCAACUCACCCAACAUCCCUGUCUCCCUGCAGGCACUAAGCGGCUGUCACACGGGGGGCAGGGUGUGUCGCUUGUCCCAUAUCCGUCCCGGCUCACUCAAGAAAGGAGGUGACCAGCUCCUGGGAGAGGGGGAGGGAUCGGGGCAGGCACACGUGUCACAGCCCACGGGGAAGCCAGUGAGGCUCCAUAGGGAGGGAAAGCAGGGUGGCCAAGGGCUUCUCGAAGGGAGAGGCCUCGUGGAGAAGCCCAGCAGAGAGGAUCGUGUCUGUCAGGGCAGCAGUGGGGGAUUGCAGAGUGUGUUAGCUCCUGUGCUGACACCGGGGACUUUCCCUCGGAACCUUAUGGAGGCAGUAUCCGUGCCCAGCUAGAUUUCAAGCAGGCAUGCUGUGGGGGUGGAGCGCAGAAUUUUUACUUGGAAAAGAUCUCGUGGUACCUUUCCAAGCCCAGCCAGUUGCAUCCUGGAACCCAUUUGCCACGGGCAAAGCCGCUCCAGCCGACCUUGUCCCCAGAGGCGGUGCGGACGGGCAGCAGCUCAUUUUGGCGGCCGUUGGUCAAGUGGGUCAGACACAGGACGAGGCCGCUCCAGCCCACAGUCAUGUUCAAAUGCAGCACGCUCAGAUCCAGCCACGGUGAGCGCCAGGGCUGACAGAUUCCCACCGCCACUCCCUCCGUAUCACAGGGGACGCGGCAAGUGUGCGCAGGCCACGUGGAACCGGAUGGCUGGGACGUGCGUGGCAGGAGCCUUUCCUGGACGAGGCUGCUCAUGGCAGAGGAUUGGCCAAAGCCCAUCCCUGUGUGUCUCCAGCGGCCGAGAGAAGCUCGGGAGGAAGGCACCCUGGGCGCCACGCUCUGGGAUUUCCGGGCCGGGGAGUAGCAGCAGCAUCGCGUGUCCCGAGCCUGUCCGUCCUGGGCAGGGACAGGUCAUUCUCCCUGGAAGGAAGUCGCCACGUGCCGCCCGCACUUGCAGGGGUGCAGGUGCUCUCGGUGAGUCCGUGAUGUGGUGGAGAGAUGAGGCCGGCCUGUUCCAGGGACCCCCCCAGACCUCGUGCACCAGGAAGCAAACAGGGAAAUGCUUCGGGAAGGGGCGCACGGCUUCCGCCUCCGAGCCCCGCUUCCCGGAGUGUCGGUGCACCUGCCGUUGGCCCUGAGGCAGCAGCGCUGGACCUGGGACCCGCGGGCACUGUGAGAGCAGGUGAGGCUGCAGGGAGGGCCCCUGGGCGGAGAGAAGCACUCUCUUCUCAGCGUGCAGACAGGGGCUUCUUUGAGGGUCUCCAGAAAGGACACGCAACCACCGUCAGAUCAGGCAGGGCUGCAGCAUGACGUCUAACCGCCUCCAAGACUAGGAAGACGUCGCUGCCCACCAGCCCUGGUUCCCCAGGCAGAGGGGUCCCCACGCGGCGCCCAGGGGAGGGCUGGCUCUGUCCCGGGAGCGGGGGUGGCAGGGAGGAACAGGAGGCCCUCGCCAGCCCUCCCUCCUGGCCUCAGGGAGCCCCCCGCCCAGGGACGAAGGGGCCACCAGACUGCAGCGUCCUGGGGGCAGGGCUUCACGGAGCAGGUGAGCUCUCCCCGGGUGAGGACGGAGGGUCUGCGGUUCUGACUCCCCUGCCCAUCGGUGUCCUGACGUCCACAACAGGCAAGGUGGUUUCCGAGAUGCUCCUGGCUCUGACCAGGAGGCCAGGGCCACUGCCGCCCCUGACUUCACCCCCCCUUGCCAGGCCACGUUGGGGUGUGGCGGGAAGUGGGUGGAGGGCUCCCAGCUGAGCCUGAGUCAGAGACGAGGGCAGAGGACUGGGAAGACCAAGAAAGGCUGGUGUUGGGGUCCCGGGAGGGGUGGAGGGCCGAGGGGGUGGGCAGGGAGCGGGCCUGGGUCCCCCGUGCCAGGGCCCCAGCCUGGGCACGUGUAAGGCCUUCUCUCUGCCCCUGGGGUCUCCUGCCUCUUCUUCACGGUGGAAGCCGUCAUGCCUCCCCCACGCGUCUCCAGGGCCUUCUGCGAGAACGAGACGAGAUGAUGGAUGUGUAAGUGCUUUUGUGAGCCGUCAAGCACCACACCAACGUGAGCUAAUAUUACUAUUAUUGCUGUAAUUAUUGUUAUUCCAAGUGCGCAAAGAUGACGGAUGGCCUGCCGGGAGAGUCCAAUCCGCCACCAAGAAAUCCUCAUACUUCAGCACCAAAAUGCUUUGAAAUCCACGGAGGAAAGAGGCUUAUAACCAAAGGCAUUUGAUUAUCGUUGUAUUUGAGUGAACGUGCAUAAGACCUAACUUCAUAUGGGAGAAAGUCAUCCACAAAAAUUAAGUCAGGAUUUCCCCCGUCCCUGCCGUAUUCAGACUCGGGGCUCAAGAGAUAGAAGUGUGGAAUGCAACCAGAAAGAGGCUUUCUGCAGCCAGCAAACCACCUUUCCCCCCUAAUAGGAUCGAGCUUAGGAGAAGGGAACUGUGAAUUAUCACUAAUGCCCUUCCAAGCCCAGCUCCCAGGGGCUGCUCAUGGCCCGGGGACCGCGGGGACCUGCAGCCACACUUGGCCGGGUCUGAGCUAAGGGCCAGGCUGUGGGUUGGGCCCCGGGACGCCCACCACCCAUCUCAGAGCCCGAGCUGAAUGCUCUCUCCCUGCCGUGCCUCCAGCCCAGCCACGCAGUGAAGCCUCAGAUGGGAAUCUGGGGCCACAAGACCCCUCUCUGGCCUGGGACAGGUGCUCACGAACAUCGCACACCUCUGGACAGUUGAACCGAACCGGUUCUGGGGAUCAGGCAGCUACCGUGGAGACAGUGCCACCCUACAUUCCAACAGCACUCUCGCCAUCCCCCAUGACCCCAAAGCCCCAGCCCCAAAGGCCCCAGAGCAGGGCUCUGUCCUUCCCCGGUACCCAACCACAUGCCCAAACAUCCGGGUCCCUGAUGCCUCGGGGAAGCUCCAUGCGGACAGGUCACUGCAGGGUUAGACGAGCAGAGGCACGGUGACCGGCCAGUGCAGGGCACAGGGGCUGAGGGCCAUUCCUGGUCCGCCCCCCAGAUGUCCACUGGGAAGGCCAGCCCACCCCUCAGUCCCCACUGCAGCUGUCCCCCUCGGGUCUGCUGGCGCCGUGGGGCUCCUGGAUCGCAGGAAGGCGAGCAGCCAUGCAGAGCUCUACCCAACCACACCUGAACCGCAGCCCCAGCCCUGGACUCGGGGUGAGCAGACUGGCUUCUGAGCUCCCACUGCUGCCCAGACUUCUCUGGGCCUUAUUGGAGGGGCCAGCCUCCUGACUCGUCAGCUGUACGAGCCUGCACGUGGAAAGCCCCUAAGCUGUCGGGACAAGACAGACGUCCACUCGGCCCCCAAGAGGCUCACCCCAGAGCAGUGUUGGCAACAGAUCCCCCAAGCUGGGGGCUUGAAACAACGGGAAUUUAUUAUCUCCUAAUUGUGGAAGACACAAGCCUGAAAUCACGGUGUCGCAGGGCCAAGCUCCCUCUAGAGCUCUAGGGGAGGGUCCUUCCUGCCUCUCCCAGCUCCUGGUGGCCCCGGUGUCCCUGGGCUGUAGCCGUACCUUCCAGCCUCUGCUCCCUCUGCCCAUGGCUUCUAUCCUGGGCCAAAUGUCCCUCUGUCUCUCUCUUAUAAGGGCCCUUGUGCUAACACCGAGGCCUCCUGGAUAAUCCAGGAUACCCUCCCCAUCUCCACAGCCUCAGUCACACCUCAAAGGGCCCGUUUCCACUCGCGUGGCAAUUACAGGCUCCGGGGAUUGGGACCCACUAUGGGCGGGCGUCGCGGGCAGGCUGGGCUGACCCCACCAGUGUUGAGUCCUAAAGCGGAAACGCAAGCCCCUGACAGAGCCCCAGUGCAUAUUUCUCUGCAACCAUUUUUCAAUUUAAUUGGUUUGAAAUGGAUUUGGCUGGAAGGGACGUCCCAGGUAAUAAAUUGAUUUAAUAACCCCUCACCAUGAGAGUAUCACACACUGGCUUCUGGGCCGACACACAUCUGUUACUCGGCAGCUCCCCGCGAGCCUGUGCAGGGGGCAGGGGGCAGUGCGUCCCACCUGAUGGACGAGCCCCCUGAGCAGCGG